rnacentral:rRNA from 1 species
ACGAACGCUGGCGGCGUGCUUAACCCAUGCCAGUCGCACGAUGAAGCACCAGCUUGCUGGUGUGGAUUAGUGGCGAACGGGUGAGUAACACGUGAGUAACCUGCCCCUCACUCUGGGAUAAGCCUGGGAAACUGGGUCUAAUACUGGAUACGACCGAUCUCCGCAUGGAGUGUUGGUGGAAAGUUUUUGUGGUGGGGGAUGGACUCGCGGCCUAUCAGCUUGUUGGUGGGGUAAUGGCCUACCAAGGCGACGACGGGUAGCCGGCCUGAGAGGGCGACCGGCCACACUGGGACUGAGACACGGCCCAGACUCCUACGGGAGGCAGCAGUGGGGAAUAUUGCACAAUGGGCGAAAGCCUGAUGCAGCGACGCCGCGUGAGGGAUGACGGCCUUCGGGUUGUAAACCUCUUUCACCAGGGACGAAGCUAACGUGACGGUACCUGGAGAAGAAGCACCGGCUAACUACGUG